rnacentral:snRNA from 1 species
AUCGCUUCUCGGUCUUUUGGCUAAGAUCAAGUGUAGUA